rnacentral:lncRNA from 1 species
GGAAGGAGCAGGGAUUUGCUUAAGAAUCAUAAGCAGCUGUGUCUUCGUUCAUUUCUAGGUUCAGAGAUUUGAAGGAUUGGCUCCGUCUGCUUUAUUAUUGCAGUGUUCCAAUAGAAGAAGAACAAGAAGAGGAGUGAUAGAUUUCAGUUUGGUUUGAAAAGUUCAAUUACUUACGAGGACUAUGUUGCCUGUUUUGCUUGAUUCACGCUGCCCAUUUCAGAAGCGUAUGCCUUUGUGAUGGGGGAUAACCGCAACAACAGUUGACUCUCAUAACUGGUAAUUUCAACUCUCAGUAUUAUUUUUGAUUAUCCCCACUAAACAUUUUUGCUUCUGGGUCAGAGGUAUUUCCUUUGUAUUUUACUACCAGUCUCUGUGCAUUGAAUUGAUCUGUUUACUGUGUUUUGUUUGGUAAGUGUUGUAGUUUGUUCUAGAGUGAAAGGUGCUAAUUAGAGGUUUAGACUGAUCUGUAUGUACCCAGCUUGAAUUCCAUGUGGCAUCUUCUGCAACAUAAGUUACUUCAACUUUGAAAAGCUGUCGAAUUUACUGAACCAUAUGUGAAAAUUGGUUUUCCAAGCUCUUAAAAGUGUUUAAACUUUGUUCUGUUGGAUUUGUUGGCUUAUAGGAUCAUCAUUCAAUUACUGCUUUUGGCUGAAUAGUCUUUGAGUUGAUCUUCGGCAAAUAAAUGCCCAAAGUUGAAUAACUCUAACCACUAAUAUGAGUGAUUCUUAUCAAUGUGCUCAGUUACUUUACUGAUAAGUAAAACCAUGAAACUUAUGUGAAUUAACUUUUCUACAAUUCUGUAAAUAAAUAUUACAAGCAACUUCUCUGCCUCUCUUGAACCUUUAUAGGAUAGCAGAGGUCUAGGAAUAGUUCCAAAACUAUUUUGAAGUAUGAAAAUAUGAAUGCAGUAUUCCCCUUCAUCAUUGCUGAUAACCCUCCUAAAUUUUUAAUUCUUAAUCAUAUAGUUCAAAAAUUUAAAAUGUUAAAAAAAUGAGAUUGGAAAGACACAUUAUGAGUUUUACAUAUCUUAUGCUUUGCUCAUGGAAUCCAAGAACAAGGUGAAAGCUGCCAAUGAAUUUCAAAUCUUGGGAUAUCAAGGUCUCCAUAUGUUCAUUUUUCGUCUGUUUCUUACUCAUUGUAGACAACUAGACAUGCAUUAAGCGAUUAUGAUUUUGUUCAGAGUGUUCAACCCAUAGAAAUAUUUAAUGAUGCAUUUAGGAAAUUUCUUGCACACUCAAUAAGAAGACAGCCAAAAGCUCCUGAGGUAUGCAACCCUUACACUCUUUGUGCUGGAUUUAUUUUAGUAUUGGUUGUGUACAAGUCACUUGCAGUUUAAUCUUUUUGAACUGUCAGGAGGAUUCAGAGGUUGGUAAUAGGUGUUAAAAAGAUGUUUGUAUCAUGCAAAUGAGACAUGUAGCAUAUAUACUUGCUUUCAAGGUUUGCUGACUGUGGUGCAGAAGGACUUUAGACUUCUACAUUAUCAACAGUUGCAUUUCGAUGAUUGUGGAGAUCGUGUUUCUCAGUUGUUACAUGUUGAAUUAGCUGCCCCAGCUUUACACUUUCAAAACAAUGAUAUUCUAGAAGACCUCAUGAUUCAAAUUUGUGUAUAGUAAUUAGCUAAAGUACCAGAUUUUGGAUCAUGUAAAACAAUGUUUGAUGUGUAUGUACAACGCAUUUAUACAGUGUACCUAAUAUUUGUAAAUUCAAUACUGUUGAAUUCAAUAAU